rnacentral:rRNA from 1 species
GGUUAAGCGACUAAGCGUAUACGGUGGAUGCCUUGGCAGUCAGAGGCGAUGAAGGACGUAGUAACUUGCGAAAAGCGUUGGCGAGCUAGUAACAAGCAUUUGAGCUAACGAUGUCCGAAUGGGGGAACCCGGCCGCAUAAGCGGUCAUCAUUAAGUGAAUACAUAGCUUAAUGAGGCAAACGAGGGGAACUGAAACAUCUAAGUACCCUUAGGAAAAGAAAUCAACCGAGAUUCCCCUAGUAGCGGCGAGCGAACGGGGAUUAGCCCUUAAGUCAGAGGGGUGUUAGUGGAAUGGUCUGGAAAGUCCAGCGGCACAGGGUGAUAGCCCCGUACACGAAAACUAACCUUUGAUGAAAACGAGUAAGGCGGGACACGUGAUAUCCUGUUUGAAUAUGGGGGGACCAUCCUCCAAGGCUAAAUACUCCUGACUGACCGAUAGUGAACCAGUACCGUGAGGGAAAGGCGAAAAGAACCCCUGUGAGGGGAGUGAAAUAGAACCUGAAACCGUAUACGUACAAGCAGUGGGAGCGGU